GACAGAGGCCACGAACGUUGUUCGGAAUUACUGGGCGUAAAGCGCACGUAGGCGGCUAGGUCCGUCCGAUGUGAAAGCCCCCGGCUCAACCGGGGAACAGCAUCGGAUACAGCCUGGCUUGAGGACGGUUGGGGUGAGUGGAACUCCUGGUGGAGCGGUGAAAUGCGUAGAUAUCAGGAGGAACACCGGUGGCGAAAGCGGCUCACUGGACCGUUACUGACACUGAGGCACGAAGGCCAGGGGAGCAAACGGG
rnacentral:rRNA from 1 species